UCAUACAUUUAAAGACAGAGGUCGUACAACUGGACAACUGAUCGAUCGAAACGCAGUCGCGUUUCAGACUUCGGACGAGAAAGACAUAUGUGAAAAGAGCUAGACUGCUCAAACCAAGUUCCGAUUCCCAAAUUCAAACAGUCCCAAUCAUUUUCUUGCAUGUAAUCCCACUUCAGAUUUAAUGGAUUAAAAGUGAACUAGAAACAACAAAUGAUGAAAACAAAAGCUUGAAAUAUUAGUGUGUAUAAAAUUGCAAAUUUACAUGAAUAAAAUCCAAAAUAUACAAGGCAGACUGCAAUAUAUUACGCAAUUCACACGCAUCAAUUGAAU